AAUCAACGCUGGCGGCGUGCCUAACACAUGCAAGUCGAGCGAGAGGGAGUAGCAAUACUCUAGUAAAGCGGCGCACGGGUGAGUAACACGUGGGUAAUCUGCCUCGAAGUGGGGAAUAACACCGGGAAACCGGUGCUAAUACCGCAUAAUCUGACGGGAUCUGCGGAUUUUGUCAGCAAAGGAGCAAUUCGCUUUGGGAGGAGCCCGCGGCUGAUUAGCUAGUUGGUUGGGUAAUGGCUCACCAAGGCCACGAUCAGUAGCCGGUUUGGGAGGACGGUCGGCCACACUGGAACUGAGACACGGUCCAGACUCCUACGGGAGGCAGCAGUGGGGAAUUUUUCGCAAUGGGGGCAACCCUGACGAAGCAACGCCGCGUGGAUGAUGAAGUCUCUUGGGACGUAAAAUCCUUUCGACGGGGACGAAACCGCAAGGUUGACGGUACCCGUAGAAGAAGCCCCGGCUAACUCCGUGCCAGCCGCCGCAGUAAUAC
rnacentral:rRNA from 1 species